GGUGCGCAGUAAAGAGCAGAAAGUAUUUGCGCAUAGUUUCGUUUUUGGAGUCGGCUGCCUGGCGUUUACCAUUUACCACCACGCGUCGGCGUUACUCGCUUGGGACCGUCAACUGCAAUUUAUAACGCUGUGUCGUCGCACUACUGGUGCUGAAGAGUCAUGGACUCCGUGGUUGGAGCUGUGGUUGGAGCCGGCCUGGCAGUAGUGGCUUCACCAGUUGUCCUAGGAGCUCUAGGAUUCUCGGCAGCAGGAGUAGGAGCAGGGACCCUUGCGGCUACGUGGCACAGCGCCAUCGGAGUAGUAGCUAAGGGAAGCCUGUUUUCGCUCCUUCAGAGCUUUGGAGCAGCUGGGCUACCAGCAUCUGUCCAAGCUGCAGUUGGUGCAGCGGGUGCAGCAGCGGGUGCAGCAGGCUUCCACUGAGGGAAACAAGAAAACCUACAUUAUGUAAAAGCAUUAUGAGGAAGCUCGCUCAAAUAUGCUGUGGCUGAAGUAAAGUGAAAGAGCGAUAAAAGCGA